CAGUAGCCGCGGUAAUACAGAGGGUGCAAGCGUUAAUCGGAAUUACUGGGCGUAAAGCGCGCGUAGGUGGUUUGUUAAGUUGGAUGUGAAAUCCCCGGGCUCAACCUGGGAACUGCAUUCAAAACUGACUGACUAGAGUAUGGUAGAGGGUGGUGGAAUUUCCUGUGUAGCGGUGAAAUGCGUAGAUAUAGGAAGGAACACCAGUGGCGAAGGCGACCACCUGGACUAAUACUGACACUGAGGUGCGAAAGCGUGGGGAGCAAACAGGAUUAGAUACCCGCGUAGUCCCUGUCUCUUAUAC
rnacentral:rRNA from 1 species